ACCGGAUCCUCAACCAGCCGCCAGCAGGAGGCGUCUCAACUCCUCCCGUCAAGUUCUGCAGACUGCACCCGGCCGAGCCGCUCAAACUCUACUGCUUCACCUGCAGGGAGCUCACCUGCAGAGACUGUCAGCUCACGGCUCACAUGAGCCACAGGUAUCAGUUUGUCAGUGAAGCGUUGGUCAGCCUGAGGAAGCAGCUGGACGUCUUGGUUCUGCCGAUCAGAGCGCGGAGAGACAAACUGAAACAGAAUCUGCUGGACAUGGAGACCAGGCUGCAGAACAUCACCUGGGGUAAAAAUAAUCUGAGGACUGAGCUGCAGCGGUCGUACAAA